rnacentral:rRNA from 1 species
CCCCCUGAACUUAGUGGCGGACGGGUGAGUAACACGUGAGCAACCUGCCCUAUAGAGGGGGAUAACGUUUGGAAACGAACGCUAAUACCGCAUAACGCGCUGGGGGACAUCCCUUUGGCGCCAAAGGAGCAAUCCGCUAUAGGAUGGGCUCGCGUCCGAUUAGAUAGUUGGCGGGGUAACGGCCCACCAAGUCGACGAUCGGUAGCCGGACUGAGAGGUUGAACGGCCACAUUGGGACUGAGACACGGCCCAGACUCCUACGGGAGGCAGCAG